rnacentral:rRNA from 1 species
AACGAACGCUGGCGGCAGGCCUAACACAUGCAAGUCGAGCGAGGACUUCGGUUCUAGCGGCGGACGGGUGAGUAACGCGUGGGAAUGUGCCCUUCUCUACGGAAUAGCCCUGGGAAACUGGGAGUAAUACCGUAUACGCCCUAUUGGGGAAAGAUUUAUCGGAGAAGGAUCAGCCCGCGUUGGAUUAGGUAGUUGGUGGGGUAAUGGCCUACCAAGCCGACGAUCCAUAGCUGGUUUGAGAGGAUGAUCAGCCACACUGGGACUGAGACACGGCCCAGAAUCCUACGGGAGGCAGCAGUGGGGAAUCUUAGACAAUGGGGGCAACCCUGAUCUAGCCAUGCCGCGUGAGUGAUGAAGGCCUUAGGGUUGUAAAGCUCUUUCAGCUGGGAAGAUAAUGACGGUACCAGCAGAAGAAGCCCCGGCUAACUACGUG